AGAGUUUGAUCCUGGCUCAGAUUGAACGCUGGCGGCAUGCCUUACACAUGCAAGUCGAACGGCAGCACGAGAGCUUGCUCUUGGUGGCGAGUGGCGAACGGGUGAGUAAUAUAUCGGAACGUACCCUAGAGUGGGGGAUAACGUAGCGAAAGUUACGCUAAUACCGCAUACGAUCUACGGAUGAAAGUGGGGGAUCGCAAGACCUCAUGCUCAUGGAGCGGCCGAUAUCUGAUUAGCUAGUUGGUGGGGUAAAAGCUCACCAAGGCGACGAUCAGUAGCUGGUCUGAGAGGACGACCAGCCACACUGGAACUGAGACACGGUCCAGACUCCUACGGGAGGCAGCAGUGGGGAAUUUUGGACAAUGGGCGCAAGCCUGAUCCAGCAAUGCCGCGUGAGUGAAGAAGGCCUUCGGGUUGUAAAGCUCUUUUGUCAGGGAAGAAACGGUGGACUCUAAUACAGAUCACUAAUGACGGUACCUGAAGAAUAAGCACCGGCUAACUACGUGCCAGCAGCCGCGGUAAUACGUAGGGUGCAAGCGUUAAUCGGAAUUACUGGGCGUAAAGCGUGCGCAGGCGGUUGUGCAAGACAGAUGUGAAAUCCCCGGGCUCAACCUGGGAAUUGCAUUUGUGACUGCACGGCUAGAGUGUGUCAGAGGGGGGUAGAAUUCCACGUGUAGCAGUGAAAUGCGUAGAGAUGUGGAGGAAUACCGAUGGCGAAGGCAGCCCCCUGGGAUAACACUGACGCUCAUGCACGAAAGCGUGGGGAGCAAACAGGAUUAGAUACCCUGGUAGUCCACGCCCUAAACGAUGUCUACUAGUUGUCGGGUCUUAAUUGACUUGGUAACGCAGCUAACGCGUGAAGUAGACCGCCUGGGGAGUACGGUCGCAAGAUUAAAACUCAAAGGAAUUGACGGGGACCCGCACAAGCGGUGGAUGAUGUGGAUUAAUUCGAUGCAACGCGAAAAACCUUACCUACCCUUGACAUGUCUGGAAUCCUCGAGAGAUCAGGGAGUGCUCGAAAGAGAAUCAGAACACAGGUGCUGCAUGGCUGUUGUCAGCUCGUGUCGUGAGAUGUUGGGUUAAGUCCCGCAACGAGCGCAACCCUUGUCAUUAGUUGCUACGAAAGGGCACUCUAAUGAGACUGCCGGUGACAAACCGGAGGAAGGUGGGGAUGACGUCAAGUCCUCAUGGCCCUUAUGGGUAGGGCUUCACACGUCAUACAAUGGUACAUACAGAGGGCCGCCAACCCGCGAGGGGGAGCUAAUCCCAGAAAGUGUAUCGUAGUCCGGAUUGUAGUCUGCAACUCGACUACAUGAAGUUGGAAUCGCUAGUAAUCGCGGAUCGGCAUGUCGCGGUGAAUACGUUCCCGGGUCUUGUACACACCGCCCGUCACACCAUGGGAGCGGGUUUCACCAGAAGUGGGUAGCCUAACCGCAAGGAGGGCGCUCACCACGGUGGGAUUCGUGACUGGGGUGAAGUCGUAACAAGGUA
rnacentral:rRNA from 1 species